UACGAAGGGGGCUAGCGUUGUUCGGAAUUACUGGGCGUAAAGCGCACGUAGGCGGAUAUUUAAGUCGGGGGUGAAAUCCCGGGGCUCAACCCCGGAACUGCCUUCGAUACUGGGUAUCUUGAGUUCGGAAGAGGUGAGUGGAAUUGCGAGUGUAGAGGUGAAAUUCGUAGAUAUUCGCAGGAACACCAGUGGCGAAGGCGGCUCACUGGUCCGAUACUGACGCUGAGGUGCGAAAGCGUGGGGGAGCAAACAGG
rnacentral:rRNA from 1 species